GUCUUGCUUCAGUGCAGUCCCUGACACAGGAUUUGCUUCCAGUCGGCAGCUAGCAUUGCCACUUCAGAGAAAGGCCCUUGUUUUUUAUUUAUUUAUUUUCAGGAUCGAGAGGCUCUAUCCCAACAGCAAAAUUUGCUUAAAGCCAAUUACCUGGGAACCCAUGCCAACACUGACAGAUCUUUCAUUCCCCUAGAUAUACAUUUUUUUUUUCUAGCGAGAACCUUUGCGUAGUCUUUCGGAGAGAGUGUGAGCACAUGCAGAAUUACACUGGUUUGGAGCACGGUGUGUUGGUCACUAUCCAAGAAAGGCAAAACCUCCAGAACUUCAGGAAGGGGUUGUGAAAAAAACUCACCACCCUAGAGCUUUGCCUGUCUCAGACAGCAAGAAUCCUCACAAACAACCUGGAGAGUAGAGGCCACAGAGGACAGACACAGUUACGAGAGAAAGCAGCGGAGAGGUUUCUGUUCUGGGUGAGCCAAUACAUUUCCCCUUCCCAAGUGUGGUCCUUUUGUUUUCCCUAGUCCCCGAGAUGACAGCGUUUCACAGCUUCCCUGAAGUUAAACAGCCUAGAAUAGAACAUUAGGUUUAAGUGGGCGGCCCAAUGCUGUUUCUUUCAUGAAGAAGCAGAAGAAAUGAACAGAGGUUCCAUAGACAGACCAUGUGAUAUUCCCACCAUACGUGUGAAGUUCCAGUUCACUGCUGCUGGGUAUUAGCUAUGAACACACUGAUACAGUCUGGCCUGCGUCACAGGAAGGCCCGUCAUUACAGAGUAGCCCAAAAGUAACAAGACAGAGGUAUGAUGGUGACAGUGACAACAUUUCACAUAAGCUCAGAAUGAGAGGGACGGGGGCUGAGAGUGAGGAGAUCUGAAAUCCUGUGGUACUUACUGAGUCUCGAAUUAGCUUGCUUUUCUCCAUUGUUGAAGAACAGGGAGAAAUAAGGAUCUGCUUUUCUCUAGUGCAUGCUCUCUCUCUCUCUCUCUCUCUCUCUCUCUCUCUCUCUCUCUCUGUCUGUGUGUGCAUGUGUAGCUAUGUCUGUAUAUGUGUCCCUAUGUUUACAUGUGACCCUUUGAGAUGGGUGCUAGUUCUUCCAUUGUACAAAUUAGGAAAUGGAGGCUCACUCACACGGCUGUCCUGUGCUAGGAGAUAUGCGUGUAACACAGUGUCUUCUUGGAGGAUGAGCCAGACUGCUUCCGUGUGACAAAUCCUCUUCAGUGUGGCCAUAUGUAAGACAGAACCUCAAUGACUGGUACCAUCGCUGGACAUUAGCUAUGUAGCCUCUUCCUGUUAGUCUUCAGCACCACCUAGCACCAUUCUGCUUCAGGGGAAAGGUGGUUUGCACUUGAGAAAGGGCAGAUGACUGGAACUGGCAACUAUAGCCACAUAGGAGGAGAGGUAACAGUGGGGUGAAGGGCCUGUCAUAUUUUGUGGGGCCUGAAGCUUGUGUAACAGGAGAUAAACAGAGGGAAGUAAUAGUAGAUUAUAGAAUCAAGGUGCACAGUAUAAAUGUAUGAAAGUUUCAAUGAAUUAGUAAAAAUAAUCUUCAAAAUUUUUUAUUUUGAGGUCAUGUUAAGGAUCCUAGCUUAGGACACAGAAAUGAAAGAACUUGGAGUCACAAGGUUCUUUAGCUGCUCAGCGUCCAUGAGUGCUCUGUCUUCAAAGAUAAGCCUCCCCCAUCCCCCUCUCUCCCACCCCUUCUCUGUCUCUUACUCCUCUAUUCCUCCCUCCCUUCUUCCCUUACACUGUCUAAUUAGAAGGAGAACGGAGAUAAAGAACCUAGAGAUAAACCUGCCAUUUUAUACUAUUUACUGAGUCAUAAACUUUAACUCAGCACACAUUUCAUUUCUAAGUUUUACUGCUUUCUUUUCAGCAGAAUCUAGUCAACUAAAUCCCUGAAGCUUGUUUCUCCUCAGCUGAUAAGCAUGAUGGAAGGCACAGAGCCAGAUGUACAGGGGAGGAGAGGCACAGUGGCCAUAACCACACCAUCUUUCCCGCCAGAAGGUGACAGUCCUCAGUUACCAAGAACAUAAGACAUUCCUGGUACGUCUACACACCCAAAAGCCCAGAGAUGCCUAAGGAGCUCAUGUCAUUCAUUCAGGUGACUCAAUUCAUGUGUCAAAGACCGUCUUCCACCUGGAAGAAAGUUGCGAAAGGACAUGAACAACAAGCUGGUAUUUUCACCCAUCACAAUCUCAUGGGCACUAAGAUAGGGCUCGUGGGCUCUCCCUCAAAACUCCCAGAGUUACUUUGGGCACUUCACUUCAGUCUUUCAAAGCAGAAUUCUCAUUGAUAUGAAUCAUGGUUUAAGAUGGCCGAAGAUGCUUCUGCUAGAUUCUUCUGUGCUUUUCUCAUUUUCCAAAAAUAAUUGCUCCACUUGCCAAAGAGUAGGAUCUGGCCAGAUCCUGUGGAAUGAACCUCAGUUAAAAACCCGUGAUUCUACAGCAAUGAAGAUGGACGGGAACACACCGAAAGCACUCUAUAUUUCUUUUCACCUUCAUUUUCUUCAAACUGAUCCAAGAUGAGCACAUGCGUGUGAAGCCUGAAAGUCUGGAUGCGGCCAUCAUAUUAGAACGAUAAAAGAAAAACUAGCAGGGUGCUUUGAACAAGUCUCUGUCCCUAUUCGCAGUACACACCCUCGGUAGACAGUCAGGCCCUACAUGUACUUAUGGCUUCCUGGUCUUUAACCCUUAGUCUCCUGGGUAAGCAUUCUCCCAAAAGUAGUGUGCUCACUGUCCAGAUAAGUGGGCUGUGCUCGUUUUCUGGUGACUGCACAUCCUCAUGGGAUGUGCUCGUCUCCCAAAUGACUCCUCCACAUCUGCGGAUACACCUACAUAGGCAGUUGCCUGCAACCCACUGCUCAGGAAGGGCUGACAAAGCAAGCCGCAGGAGCUUGGCAUCUGCACAAGGCAGCUGCCUCUUAUGACUGACUGGGCUCUCUCCUGAGGAUAAAGAGCUGGAUGCUGGGUUAAGCCAAUUCAUUUUUCUCCCUGUAAGUCAGUGGAAACUUCUUUCCACGGAUUCAUUUCCAAAUGAAGGAAUGUUAUCACCAGAUGUCACCCCUUCAGGAUAAACAUAUUCUUCAUAAUAGGGAAAAGUGGACCUCAUGGAGCCAAUCUUGGUUCUGUAGAAUAGGUUUUAUUUUUUAUGUCUAACAUGAGUUGCACUGUGGGUUUUUGGUAGAUAUACUUCCUGUCUCACACAUGGUUUUGCCAUCAUUUUUAAUAGAACUGAUAUUUUAUAAAGCCAUCUGCUUCAUGUCCAUUGGCACUUCUGCACCUCCAAGGCCUUGACAAUUCCCAGAGCUACCACAGCCUUCAAGACAAGAUGGGGGAGACAAAGGACGGAUCUUAACCCCAUCCCCGUUCCCACCCACAGGAUGGACAAGUACAACACCACCUUAGGGAAGAUGUACAGAGAAUAGCACUCAUUUCUCCCACUCCCUAAACCAAGAAGACAGCACUAGCUUCCAGCUCAGAGUUUCUAUUAAAGUUUAAACUGAGGGACUAGAGAGAUGGCUGAGUGGUUAAGAGCAAGGACUGCGCUUCCAGAGGUCCUGAGUUCAAUUCCCAUCAACCACAGGGUGGCUGACAGCCAUCUAUAAUGGGAUUCAAUGCCUUCUUUUGGUCUGUGUCUGAGACAGCUACAGUGUACUUAUAUAGAUAAAAUUAAUUAAUCAUUUUUAAAAAAUCAAAAUUGGGAAAAACACAGCAUUUAAAAGUUACUUGGUCUUAUUAUUGUUGUUGUUAUUGUUUAUAGGCCACAGAUAUACUUAGAAAUGACUAUUUCUAAAUAAGAACUUUUACAUCACAGAAGUCCAGGAGAAGUUCAACAGAUGUUCAACACAGGAAGGAGAAAAUUUUCCCCUUUGGUUCCCAUGAAUGAGGACUCAAACUUGCAAAAGAGAAACUGACCUAAGAUUUGAACUUACUUGUGGUCUUCUAUGUGAAUAAUGGUGUUUUGCCGUCAAGGCAGGAUAUUGCUCAGGCUAAUAACUCAGAACGCAGUGGAAUUAAGUAGACCAAUACAACUCCAGUAGAAAACAAUCUUCAUUUUUGAAAAGCAUACAGACCAAUACAAAGACUUUAGAAUUUCAAACAUAGG
rnacentral:lncRNA from 1 species